rnacentral:snRNA from 1 species
CUACGCUGCAGCGUAUGG